CAAACGGUCCUUUUCAGGACCAACAAAUAUCAAUGAAAAGCUAUG
rfam:Lingula anatina scaffold487, whole genome shotgun sequence.